AACGAACGCUGGCGGCGUGCUUAACACAUGCAAGUCGAGUGCGCGUCUGUAGCAAUACAGAUGGCGCACGGCGCACGGGUGCGUAACACGUGGGCAAUCUGCCCUCCGAUGGGGAAUAACUCGCCGAAAGGCGAGCUAAUUCCGCAUAACAUUCCUUGGACUUCGGUUUGAGGACUCAAAGCCGUAAGGCGUCGGAGGAGGAGCCCGCGCCCGAUUAGCUAGUUGGUGGGGUAACGGCCCACCAAGGCAAUGAUCGGUAGCUGGUCUGAG
rnacentral:rRNA from 1 species